rnacentral:rRNA from 1 species
UACAGAGGUCUCAAGCGUUGUUCGGAUUCAUUGGGCGUAAAGGGUGCGUAGGUGGCGCCGUAAGUCGGGUGUGAAAUUUCGGAGCUUAACUCCGAAACUGCAUUCGAUACUGCGGUGCUUGAGGACUGGAGAGGAGACUGGAAUUCAUGGUGUAGCAGUGAAAUGCGUAGAGAUCAGGAGGAACACCGAUGGCGAAGGCAGGUCUCUGGGCUGACACUGACGCUCAUGCACGAAAGCGUGGGGAGCAAACAGG